rnacentral:rRNA from 1 species
CACGUCGGGGGCGAGCGUUGUCCGGAUUCAUUGGGCGUAAAGAGCUCGUAGGCGGCUCAGUAAGUCGGGUGUGAAACCCUCAGGCUCAACCUGGGGACGCCACUCGAUACUGCUGUGGCUAGAGUCCAGUAGAGGAGUGUGGAAUUCCCGGUGUAGCGGUGAAAUGCGCAGAUAUCGGGAGGAACACCAACGGCGAAGGCAGCACUCUGGGCUGGAACUGACGCUGAGGAGCGAAAGCGUGGGUAGCAAACAGG